UUAACCACCUGAGGCAGAACAAGUCCAGCCAGUUCUUUAGAGGGAGCGUCUGAGACUCAAGGAAAUGACAAGAGAAUACAACUCAAAACUUAUGAAAACACCUUAACCACCUGAGGCAGAACAAGUCCAGCCAGUUCUUUAGAGGGAGCGUCUGAGACUCAAGGAAAUGACAAGAGAAUACAACUCAAAACUAAUACUAAAAACAAAGAUAGAGGUUCAUGUUUAGCUACAGCUAUAAUCUGUAGUAUGUGGUGACACAUGAAACAAGACGUAAAGCUGCAUAUGUCUCAUGUACAU